GGUUGGGAUAAAUUUGGGGAUGAUGGUCCAUGGAACACUACACAUUAUCUUGAGGUGCUGCACACAUGUGCCAAAUAUCAAAAGAUUUUGUCACAGGGCAAACAAAUCAUGCUCCCUACACAAAAGUGUAAACAAAAAUCAUCUUUUUACUUUGAAGUCAAAGGUCAAAGUACAGCCAAAAAUUGUAUUGUAGGUAUCUGUGGCAUUGACUUAUGAUCUACAUGCCAAUUCAAUGAAAAUGUUCUUGCAUUUUCCAACUAAGUACUUUCAUGGUGAAAAUUUGUACAAAAAAGGACAAGAAAUGUAUAGUGUACAUUUUAUGGUUGCUAUGGCAACCAAAUGAACAAAGUGGUGAUGAGACUGCAACUUUUUUUCUUUAAUUUUUUUC
rnacentral:lncRNA from 1 species